GGAGAGAUGGCUGAGUGGUUUAAGGCGCGCGCCUGGAGAGCGCGAGUACCUAAACAGUACCGUGGGUUCGAAUCCCACUCUCUCCGCCA
rnacentral:tRNA from 1 species